rnacentral:lncRNA from 1 species
UGUAUUGUUGUAUAGUAAACAAUAUUGAAAAUCUAUAAAUUAUGUCAAAUGUUUUUUUUUCUUUCUUCUUUAUGCUUAAUUUAUAUAGAAAAUUAGUUAAAACACCCAUUCCUAGACAUAAAACUAUAAAAAUACCCUAUACUAUUUCAUGUAUAUAAACACACCCAAAAUAAACCCAAAAAUCGACAGCUGUAUAUUUUUUAAUUUAAUUAUUAAGAUGAAAUACCU